CGCGAUUCGCCCUUCGGGGUGCGCAGGCGCGAAAACUUUACAAUGCGGGAAACCGUGAUAAGGGGACACCGAGUGCCAGCAUCAUAUGCUGGCUGUCCAGGUGUGUAAAAUACACCUGUUAGCAAGGGCCGGGCAAGACCGGUGCCAGCCGCCGCGGUAACACCGGCGGCCCGAGUGGUGAUCGUGAUUAUUGGGUCUAAAGGGUCCGUAGCCGGUUUGGUCAGUCCUCCGGGAAAUCUGACGGCUCAACCGUUAGGCUUUCGGGGGAUACUGCCAGGCUUGGAACCGGGAGAGGUAAGAGGUACUACAGGGGUAGGAGUGAAAUCUUGUAAUCCCUGUGGGACCACCUGUGGCGAAGGCGUCUUACCAGAACGGGUUCGACGGUGAGGGACGAAAGCUGGGGGCACGAACCGGAUUAGAUACCCGGGUAGUCCCAGCCGUAAACGAUGCUCGCUAGGUGUCAGGCAUGGCGCGACCGUGUCUGGUGCCGCAGGGAAGCCGUGAAGCGAGCCACCUGGGAAGUACGGCCGCAAGGCUGAAACUUAAAGGAAUUGGCGGGGGAGCAC
rnacentral:rRNA from 1 species